GCAAGCCGUGCGAGAAAGUAUCUUCGGAUAUGAGUAGAGCGGCGGACGGGUGAGUAACGCGUAGGAAUCUACCUAGUAGAAGGGGAUAGCCCGGGGAAACCCGGAUUAAUACCGUAUACCUCCUUCGGGAGAAAGAAGGCCUCUCUUCGAAGCUUUCGCUAUUAGAUGAGCCUGCGUAAGAUUAGCUUGUUGGUGAGGUAAAGGCUCACCAAGGCGACGAUCUUUAGCUGGUCUGAGAGGACGAUCAGCCACAUUGGGACUGAGACACGGCCCAGACUCCUACGGGAGGCAGCAGUGGGGAAUAUUGGACAAUGGGCGCAAGCCUGAUCCAGCCAUACCGCGUGUGUGAAGAAGGCCUUCGGGUUGUAAAGCACUUUAAGCAGGGAGAAAAAGUUAUAAGUUAAUACCUUAUAACCGUGAUGUUACCUGCAGAAUAAGCACCGGCUAAUUCCGUGCCAGCAGCCGCGGUAAUACGGAAGGUGCAAGCGUUAAUCGGAAUUACUGGGCGUAAAGCGCGCGUAGGUGGUUUGUUAAGUUGGAUGUGAAAGCCCUGGGCUCAACCUAGGAACUGCAUCCAAAACUAACUCACUAGAGUACGAUAGAGGGAGGUAGAAUUCAUAGUGUAGCGGUGGAAUGCGUAGAUAUUAUGAAGAAUACCAGUGGCGAAGGCGGCCUCCUGGAUCUGUACUGACACUGAGGUGCGAAAGCGUGGGUAGCGAACGGGAUUAGAUACCCUGGUAGUCCACGCCGU
rnacentral:rRNA from 1 species